ensembl:lncRNA
GAAUGCUGAAGAGAUUGUAAAAGUGUUAAAGUGGAACUUCAAAAGCAGACUUGUCCAAAAUUCUGACUGAAGAGGUGUGAAAACCUGGACAACACACAUCAAGAAAAAGGCUAGCAGGACUCAAAGUGACUGAAAAUACAAGCCUCCAGAUAAGGUGGUAGAAGCCUGCAAUUGUGUUAUUGACAGUUGCACCUGAGACAUGGACUGUUGUGAAACAGCACAUUUGAGGUACACUGCAUACCAACUAUGAGGCAGAUCCAAGGCCUUCGAGGUACAUGUGGCUAUUCUGCCACAUGUGUCUCAGUAGCUGACUUCUUUGCCAAACUUCCUUAUGAUUACAUCUCUACUACGCUAACUGUAUUUCAAAAUCUGCCUUAAAGUUAGUUCAAAGCUCAUUUUAAUCACUAAAAAGAAAUUGCCAUUGGCUUCACUGCAGAUAUCAUCAGUUGGCUCUGAUCCAUUCCACCACAGGGUCUGAGGGAGCUCGUCAGCCCUUUCUCCAGCAUCCAUGUCUGGGUGGCAUCUGGCCAUUUACUAGUUGGAAGAGACAGCACUAAGGUCAGAAAGUCAUCUUAUCUUCCUCUGAAUAAGGGCUAGAUUUCACUGCCAGAUUUAUCAUUCUAUUUCUCAUAUGAAUAAAAAAUUUCAGGUCAAUGAGAAAGCACAAGAGGGUCUUUGUACAAGUGGAUGGUAGAAUUUCAGCACUAGAUGCUGUGGGCAAAUCACUACUGUCACUUGUUUGUUUUGUUAUUUCUGAGGUUCUCCCCCCUCUGUAACUCUGCAUUAUAUCGGCUCCAAAAUGUGGUGGAAACAAACUUAUGAGUAUGUAUCUACAGGUAAUGCAUUCACUUCCUGGGUGUAACAAAAACUCUUCAGAGGGUGAAGCUGCUUCAACAUUUCUGAAAGUCCUUUGUCACCUCACUCCUUCCAGUACCCUAAACAAUUGAGAAACUGAGUUGAUAAAAUAUUCCUUUGAGGGAAAUUGAGUUGGAAGUCCUCAUGGAUACAGAUGGCAGCAUCAGAACUGUGAGCUGAUUGGGAAAGUGUGAGAAGAUGCAUCAGAUCUUGCUGUGCUUUCAAACAUGCAUAAAGACAGCUCUAUCUUUGGCAUGGAACAAGCAUGGAGAAACUUUAAUAACAACGCAAGACGUAGUGCUGUAACCUAGGUUCAUAAGUUUCUUUUUCGUUGCCUUCAACAAAACCACCACUUAAAUCAAACUCUUCAUAAGAAAUGCUGAUCUGCAGAAUAUUACCAGAUGGGUCUCCUGCCUUCUGAAGAAAGGGGGAAAUGAGAGAGCCUCAUGUUUAACGGCAUAUGAAAGAAGAAAUACAAUGUGUAAACUUUCCACUGACGGAUAUAAUAGUGUUCUCACUUUUAAAGAAAAACAGUACUUCCUAGCAGGAGGCCUGCAAGAAAUUUAACAAUUACUCAAGAUUUAGUUGUACAGCAUGGCAUUUUCGAACAUGUGCAGAGUCUGUUAUUUUUUGUAAUUAAAUUAAUUUAAAUAAUAAAUAAAGUAAUUAAAA